AGGAUUUUUUGGCUGUGCCAACUGCAAGGACUUUUGAGAUUGCAUUUACAUUGAAUGCACAUGCUCGUUGGUGCUAUAUCAAUAAGUGCUUCAACAAUAUCUACAGUUCACAGGCAAACUUGUCUAGAGUUGACGUUAUAGCAGAUGUCAUGGUUAAAAGAGAGUUAGAAUCAAAGCUAGAAGAUGUUCAUAUCAUAUAGUUAAAAA